AUGGCGGCGCGGCCACACGCAGCGGCUUCUCUCUGUCCCGACAGAACGGUGUUUUCGUGUUUUUUGUCUUGUGAGUCGCAGUGUUUUUGCACGUUGUCGUCACGUCUACCUGUCUGUAAGCGCAAAUACAGUCGCGAGUUUCUGCUCGAUGUCGGCAGAACCGCAUUUUUACAGUUAAACUCCGCGCAAGCGGAACAGCUGCGGGAUCUCGAUCUGCUACGGAGGCCUUCACCAUCAUCGACCCCCACUACUGCAUCUCGCCCGCAGCGGAGGCGCCACAAGCGGCGUGAGAGGAAGCAGAAGAGGGGGAAGCGCGGAGGUAUCCGGGCUAGGCUAACGGCUAACCCACACAAGCCAUCUGUCCCCACCAUCGUACUGGCUAACGUACGCUCGUUGGACAAUAAACUGGACUACAUUCGUUUACUACGCUCAACUCAGAGGACUGUAAGAGACUGUUGUGUUUUUGUGUUCACGGAAACAUGGCUCAGCAACAGCGUUCCAGAUGGCGCUAUUCAGCUCGACCAGCUGACGUGCUAUCGAGCGGACAGAGCUCUCGUCGCGGGAGGAAAAACCCGCGGCGGCGGGCUUUGUGUUUACAUCAAUGACGCGUGGUGCCGCGAUACUGUUGUGAUCAGCAAACACUGCUCAACCCUGGUGGAGUUUAUGAUUAUUAAGUGCCGGCCGUUCUAUCUGCCGAGGGAAUAUACUGCUAUACUGCUCAUUUCAGUGUACAUUCCCCCAUUCAACAUCACCAGCAACAGGAACGACGCACUUAAUGAACUGUACCAACACAUCAGUGAGCAGCAGACAGCACACCCGGAUGCUUUUCUCAUCAUAGCUGGGGAUUUCAACCAUGCUGACCUUAAGAGUGUGUUUCCAAAAAUACACCAGCACAUCAACUUUCCAACACGAGGUAAUAACAUUUUGGACUUUGUUUACACCACACAGAGAGGAGCUUACAAAGCCCUCCCCCUCCCCCCCACCUCGGAGCCUCAGAUCACAUCACUGUUAUGCUAA
ensembl:lncRNA